AUUGAACGCUGGCGGCAGGCCUAACACAUGCAAGUCGAACGAGUGGCGGACGGGUGGGUAAUGUCUGGGAAACUGCCUGAUGGAGGGGGAUAACUACUGGAAACGGUAGCUAAUACCGCAUACCAUGAGAUGUGCCCAGAUGGGUUUAGCUAGUUGGGGGGGUAACGGCUCACCAAGGCGACGCGCCCUAGCUGGUCUGAGAGGAUGACCAGCCACACUGGAACUGAGACACGGUCCAGACGCCUACGGGAGGCAGCAGUGGGGAAUAUUGCACAAUGGGCGAAAGUCUGAUGCAGCCAGGCCGCGUGUAUGAAGAAGGCCUUCGGGUUGUAAAGUACUUUCAGCGGGGAGGCGUUACCCGAAGAAGAAGCACCGGCUAACUCCGUGCCAGCCGCCGCGGUAAUUC
rnacentral:rRNA from 1 species